UGGGGAAUUUUGCGCAAUGGGGGAAACCCUGACGCAGCAACGCCGCGUGGAGGAUGAAAUCCCUUGGGAUGUAAACUCCUUUCGAUAGAGACGAUUAUGACGGUACCUAUAGAAGAAGCCCCGGCUAACUUCGUGCCAGCAGCCGCGGUAAUACGAGGGGGGCAAGCGUUGUUCGGAAUUAUUGGGCGUAAAGGGCGCGUAGGCGGUUUGACAAGUCUGAUGUGAAAUCUAUGGGCUCAACCCAUAGCCUGCAUUAGAAACUGUCGGGCUUGAGUAUGGGAGAGGUGAGUGGAAUUUCCGGUGUAGCGGUGAAAUGCGUAGAUAUCGGAAGGAACACCUGUGGCGAAAGCGGCUCACUGGACCAUAACUGACGCUGAGGCGCGAAAGCUAGGGGAGCAAACA
rnacentral:rRNA from 1 species